CGGCAGUGUGCUGGAGCCCCCUCGUAGUGGCUGGCAAGAACGGAUUGUGAAAAUCUCAUUCAUUUUUCAAACGUUGUUUGGAGUCGUGUAGUAUCCUGCUGUUCACUUACAGUAAAAACAGGUGCCUGGGAGAGAUGAUAGAAAAAUCAAAGAAAAAUCAAAGAAAAGUUUGCCGUAGCAAGGAAGACUUGAACUCAACACUGUGUACCAACUUAGGGUUGAAGGAACGGGCUUUGAAGCUAUGAAGAAGAGAAACUCAGUGUGUGCUGAAUUGAGCAAUGCGUGCCCUCCCGCUCUUGGUGACCUGGCACAAUCUAUUAUUCCAAUCUUACAGCUGAGGUCCAGAGUCCUACUCAAGAUUGAACAAAGUCAUACCGAAGUGAUGAACAAGCGUGAGGCCUUACUUCUCCAGACAGAACUGAAUCUCUCUCCUUUGGAGAUUGACUUUGAUUUACGAUGAGGUGCAUGGAGUGUGUCCUAAGGGCAUCAAGCCGUAAUUGCUCUCCUUCAAAGUGGACCGUUCUGCCCUCAUCCUUCAACUAAAGGGGAGCUGUAUAACACCCUGUGUUGAUUUGACUUCUGAUUUAUUUCUUUUGGAAGGAUUAUGUCUUUUGUUAAAACGUUCUUUUCACCGGGGAUGGAGAUUU
rnacentral:lncRNA from 1 species